GUGUCUUCUAUUAAUUUUCAUUUCAUUACAUUUUAUUUUUUUCUUUCUUAUUUUAAAUCACAUAAAUUUUUAUAAAAUAAUAUUGUACGUAAAUUAAUUUUAAUUUUAAUUUUAUUUUUUUAGCCACUCAUUUAAAAAAAAAAAACACUAUUUCACCAAUAUUUAUUUCUACAAAAUGGGGCAAACCGGGGGCUAAAUUUUGCUUCGAUUGUAUUAAAAGCUUCAAAGGUCCACCGCUAUACUAUCAUCUCUUAUCUCCUCAACUACCUCCAUCAACCGCGAGAUGGAAGCGACGCCGCUGCUUGAUCGGAGCUCCGACAACAAGGUACAGGUCAUCGGAGAGAACGGUGACUACCUGCCGAUAAGGGGGCUUAGUGCAUGGUGGAGUGUUUUCUGUAUAGAGACAGUGAAGCUAUGGAGAAUAGGCGGCCCCAUAGUGUUUCAAGUUCUUUGUCAGUAUGGAACUUACUCCGUCACCAACAUGUUUGUUGGCCAUCUUGGAGAUAUCGAACUCUCUGCCUUUUCCAUCACUCUUUCCGUUAUCUGCACCUUCUCUUUUGGCCUCCUGGUUAGCCCCUUCACACCACCGCCACCGCCACCACCACCGCCACCUAUUAUAUCUCAAUUUUGGUUUUAAAUUAAAAAAUUACGAAUAAUUUAUUUGUCAUUGACGAAUGUCCGUCUACAUACUUAAUAAUUUUUCACAUUAAAUGCACGAAAUCUGGGUGGUUCAUUUUCUAUCAUUAUAUUAGUCUUUGGAUUGGGUAGCAUAAUAGUCAGAUUUAUCGCUCCAGCUAGCUAGACAUGUUGCUAGAAAAAUGAUUGUUGGCAAUGAAUUUGAAAUAAAUUCCGUAACUGCGUUGGCAGAUACAUUAUGAAACUUUAAUGCCAUUUAGCCCCACUUGGUUUGCUAUCCCAGUUCAAGCAGCUUUAAUUAAAUGACUCAUUUAAUUUUACUUUUCCUUUAGCCUUAUCUUCUAGCACUACUUAGACUGGAUUGCAACCUCAAUGGCUACAUAGCAUUACUCUUCUUGAAAACUGAUAUUCUUUAAGAUACAAGUCUGAAAGGAUUUUGUAUAAGUUCCUUGUAAUUGUGUAAUCUGUUUUAUUUAAGAUACGUACAAGUCUAACUAAUUAGUCUAGUUCAUCCUAAAUAAUCUUGAAGCCGAAGAUCUGAUUAAAAAAACGUUUCAAACCCCUUAAAUGAAACAAUUCAAGUUUUCUGAAUUUGUUCUUGUGACAUAGACAAUACAUUUCGUAGGAUUCAAGACUACUACUACCAAUUUACUGUUUACACAUUAUGUAGGAUCCACAAUUUAUAAUCACUUAGAUCUAAUUUGAGCACUCCCAAGUAUGGUUAAACAGCGAUCUAAUAUGACUUCACAAAUGGCACCUUAUUUUGCUAUGUCUAGUUCGGUAUGGGGAGUGCCCUUGAGACGCUAUGCGGUCAGGCAUUUGGUGCUGGACAAAUUCACAUGCUUGGUAUUUACAUGCAACGCUCGAUAGUGAUCCUAACCAUCACUUGUGUCGUCCUGUUGCCACUAUACUUGUUUGCGACCCCAAUUCUGAAGCUACUUGGACAGGAGGAUGAUAUAGCAAAUCUUGCAGGGGUAUAUACGCUUCAGGUUAUCCCUCAAUUAUUUUCCCUUGCCAUCAGUUUCCCGGCUCAGAAGUUUCUUCAAGCCCAGAGUAAAGUUGCCGCUCUUGCGUGGAUAUCAUUUUCUGUAUUGGCUGCACAAGUUUUUCUAUGUUGGCUUUUUAUUCAAGCAUUUGGCUGGGGAGGAGCUGGUGCGGCUGCAGCAUUGGACCUUGCGAGUUGGCUUAUGGCCUUAGCACAAUUUGGUUAUGUGGUUGGUUGGUGCAAGGAUGGUUGGAAGGGAUUCUCAUGGUUCGCAUUUAGGGAUUUAUGGGCCUUCGUGAGACUCUCCCUUGAAUCUGCCGUCAUGCUAUGCCUCGAGGUGUGGUAUAUGAUGAGCAUCGUUGUACUUGCUGGACAUCUUGGCAAUGCCGUAACUGCAGUUGGUUCCCUUUCUAUUUGGUGAGCUUAAAUCAUAUUUUACAUCCUUCUAUAUAUCGUAGUGAUUUAAAAAUUGUGGAUUUCAUAUUUUGUGAGCUUUGUAAAAUGAGCUAUCAAUUUAAGUUAUUCAUCACUUUGAUAGCUUAUUUAUCAUUAAUAAUUCAAGGCAUAUAAAUCUACGAGAUCUAUCAUUGUUAUUUGACAAGUCACUUGAAUUUGUACUAAUCAUUUACCAUUUCAUCGUUUGUGAAAUUGUAAUCUUAUGUACUCCAAGCCUUAUCUUUUGUAUUAUCAUUUUCUUUUAAGAUGCUAAUAUUUUCUUUUGGUCAGCACGAGCAUUAAUGGGUGGGAAUCCAUGGCAUUCAUGGGAGUUAAUGCNGCUAUAAGGUAAAAGGCCAAAUGACGCUUAUCGAUACUUUUUUUACUUUGUUUUAAAUAAGCUAGAUUAUAACUUGAAUCGAAUGCAGUCGUCUUCUAGUAAUUUCCAUCCAUCGCCCUGUGCAUCUAUAUUGCCAGCACACAGAUACAUUUUUCACUUAAGAACAAUUUCUUCGAAAAAACAUUGUGCCCGGGAAAUGUUGUAUGUCCAAAUUAAUGGAACCUUAUGGAAAAUCGAAUUCAGCGUGCUUAAUGAAAAUUCAUUAAUAUUUCUUGGUCCUAAUUGAUUGAAGUAUCCAGGCAGGUUAGAGGACUAUUUGUGUUUAUCACGUUCAUAUGGUCAAAUGAUAUCUGUUAGUGAAUAGCUCUGCUUUUAACACUAGUUUGAUAAGUGAUUACAUAGCAUGAACUGCGAUUUAAGGUUAUCUUCCAACACAAAUUCAACUCAAAUGCUCCUCAUAAUAAAUUGCUGGAGGGUUCAUAAGUUUUAGAUCAUUCUAUUGUUUAUCGGGUUGCCAUAAGGGUUAAUGUUUUAUUUUUUUAUUACUAUUAUUAUUUUUUUAAAUUACUAGCCAUAUCAAUUUCAUGGUUCCAAUCUUUUAUGUUCCAGUGUUCGUGUCUCAAAUGAGCUUGGCUUAGGACGUCCAAGAGCAACCAAAUAUUGUGUCUAUGUCACAGUCUUUCAGUCACUCCUGAUUGGGAUUAUUUGCAUGAUUAUCGUCCUCGCUACAAGAAAUUAUUUAGGUCUUAUUUAUACAAAUAGCGAGAAUUUGAUACGUGCAGUUGCUCACCUUUCCGGCCUUCUUGGAAUUACAAUGCUUCUCAAUAGUGUCCAACCCGUGAUAUCAGGUACUGGUUAUUCGAUUUAAGUAUUUGUCUAUGCAAAUCAAAAUGGCUUUUUCAUCAUGUUUCCUUGAUCUUCCGGCUUAAUUAUGCAGGUGUUGCCAUUGGAGGUGGGUGGCAAGCUCUAGUGGCUUACAUCAAUUUGGGUUGUUACUACAUUUUUGGUCUUCCCCUCGGUUAUGUUCUUGGCUAUGUCGGUAAUUUUGGAGUGAUGGUAAGUAAAUUUUUACUUGAACCUCCAUAUUAUGCGAAUUUGCAUUUUAAACGAUUCUGGAUAUAA
rnacentral:lncRNA from 1 species